ensembl:lncRNA
UUGGGAUAUAUGGGGCCAUACUGGGAUAUAUGGGGCCAUAUUAGGAUACAUGGGGCCAUAUUGGGACUCUACAAGGGCUUUAUUGGGACCAUGGGGAGGUUGACAUUGCCAUCCCCUAUUAAUCACAAUCCCCACAGCCCGAUUCCUGCCCCGAUCCCACACUGGAUCCCGAUCCCACACUGGAUCCCGAUCCCACACUGGAUCCCGAUCCAUAGGUCCCGGUCCCGGCGCUAUAAGAGGAUCCAGUAUUGGGACCACGACGGAUGGGGAUGUAACCCCCAGUUCGGGCUGGAUCCCUCAACCCCGGUACAAAAGGGAUCCCUGGGUUCUUGUAUAUGGGGCGCAGGGAUCCACCCCCAUAGGAUCCCGACCCCCCAUAGGAUCCUGAUCCGCCCCCAUAGGAUCCAGAUCCCCCAUAGGAUCCAGAUCCGCCCCCAUAGGAUCCAGAUCCGCUUUGGGAUCCCGGUCUGCCCCCAUAGGAUCCAGAUCCCCCAUAGGAUCCUGAUCCGCCCCCAUAGGAUCCCGAUCCACUUUGGGAUCCUGAUCCGCCCCCGUAGGAUCCUGAGUCACUGUAGGAUCCCGAUCCGCCCCCAUAGGAUCCCGACCCCCCAUAGGAUCCCGAAUCAUCCCCAUAGGACUCGGGGAGCCCAUAGGAUCCCGAGCUGCCUCCAUAGGAGCUUGAUCCCCCAUAGGACCCCGAUCCGCUGCCUCCUUGGGAUCCACUUCCCCCUUGGGAUCCAGGUCUUCCUGAUCCCGAUCCCGAUCCUCCUUGGGAUCCAGGUCUUCCCGAUCCCGAUCCCGAUCCCCCUUGGGACCCAGGUCUGUCCAACCCAUAGGGCAGCAGUCCAUAGGAUCCUGGUGGUCCACCGGAUCCCGGUGAGACAAAAGAUCCCGAUCCAUCCCCGUCCCCUUGGGAUCCCGGUCUGCUCCCAUAAUAACCCGGUUUGCCCCCACUGGAUUCCGGUGACACGUAGGAUCCCGAUCCGCUUCCUCGGCCUGGGGAUGGCCCCGAUCCACCCCCAUAGGAUCCUGAUCCGCCACCAUGGGAUCCCGGUCUGCCCCCAUAGGAUCCUGAUCCGCCGCCAUAGGAUCCCGAUCCACCACCAUGGGAUCCCGGUCUACCCCCAUAGGAUCCUGAUCCGCCCCCAUAGGAUCCCGAUCCGCUUUGGGAUCCUGGUCUGCCCCCAUAAGAUCCCGAUCCGCUUUGGGAUCCUGGUCUGCCCCCAUAAGAUCCUGAUCCGCUUUGGGAUCCCGGUCUGCCCCCAUAGGAUCCUGAUCCACCACCAUAGGAUCCCGAUCCGCCCCCAUAGGAUCCCGGUCUGCCCCCGUAAGAUCCCGAUCCGCUUUGGGAUCCUGGUCUGCCCCCAUAGGAUCCUGAUCCACCCCCAUAGGAUCCCGAUCCGCUUUGGGAUCCCGAUCCGCCUCCAUAGGAUCCUGAGUUGCUCCCAUAGGAUCCGGGUCCGCUGUAGGAUCCCCCUCCCCCCCCGGUGGAUCCCGCUGUGUCCCCCCCAGUUUGGGGGCUGAGGAAUCCGGUGGGUUCCUUGCAGGGAUCCACCCCGGCCAUCAGGGGGCUCAGCUGGGAUCCUGAGUCGCACUCGGAGGCAGCGCCUGGAGAGGGGGGGGGGAGUCUGUCCCAGUUUGGCCCAGUUCAUCCCAGUCUGUCCCAGUUCAUCCCAGUUCAUCCCAGUUUGGCCCAAUCCAUCCCAAUCCAUCCCAGUCCAUCCCAGUUCAUCCCAGUUCGUCCCAGUUCAUCCCAUUUCAUCCCAGUCCAUCCCAGUUCAUGCCAAUCCAUCCCAGUUUGUCUCAAUCCAUCCCAAUCCAUCCCAGUCCCGUCCCAUUCCAUCCCAGUCUGUCCUAGUCCAUCCCAGUUCCAUCCCAUUCCAUCCCAGUUGAUCCCAGUUCAUCCCAGUUCAUCCCAAUCCAUCCCAAUCCAUCCCAGUCCCGUCCCAUUCCAUCCUAAUCCAUCCCAGUUCAUCCCAGUCCCUCCCAGUCCAUCCCAUUCCAUCCCAGUUCAUCCCAGUUCAUCCCAGUCCCUCCCAUUCCAUCCCAGUUCAUCCCAGUCCCUCCCAUUCCAUCCCAGUUCAUCCCAUUCCAUCCCAGUCCAUCCCAGUUCAUCCCAUUUCAUCCCAGUCCAUCCCAGUUCAUCCCAUUUCAUCCCAGUUCGUCCCAUUCCAUCCCAUUUCAUCCCAGUUCAUCCCAGUUCAUCCCAUUCCACCCCAGUCCAUCCCAUUCCAUCCCAGUUCAUCCCAUUCCACCCCAGUCCAUCCCAUUCCAUCCCAAUCCAUCCCAGUUCAUCCCAUUUCACCCCAGUUCAUCCCAAUCCAUCCCAGUUCGUCCCAGUUCAUCCCAUUCCAUCCCAGUCCAUCCCAGUCUGUCCCAGUCCACCCCAAUCCAUCCCAUUCCAUCCCAGUUCAUCCCAUUCCAUCCCAGUUCAUCCCAGUCCACCCCAAUCCAUCCCAUUCCAUCCCAGUCCAUCCCAGUUCAUCCCAUUCCAUCCCAGUUCAUCCCAUUCCAUCCCAUUCUA